AUACGUAGGUGGCAAGCGUUAUCCGGAUUUACUGGGUGUAAAGGGCGCGUAGGCGGGUAUGCAAGUCAGAUGUGAAAUCUAUGGGCUUAAACCAUAAACUGCAUUUGAAACUGUAUGUCUUGAGUGCUGGAGAGGUAGACGGAAUUCCUUGUGUAGCGGUGAAAUGCGUAGAUAUAAGGAAGAACACCAGUGGCGAAGGCGGUCUACUGGACAGUAACUGACGCUGAGGCGCGAAAGCGUGGGGAGCAAACAGGAUUAGAUACCCUGGUAGUCCACGCUGUAAACGAUGAAUACUAGGUGUGGGGGGACUGACCCUCUCCGUGCCGCAGUUAACACAAUAAGUAUUCCACCUGGGGAGCACGGCCGCAAGGUUGAAACUCAAAUGAAUUGACGGGG
rnacentral:rRNA from 1 species